rnacentral:rRNA from 1 species
UACAGAGGUCCCAAGCGUUGUUCGGAUUCACUGGGCGUAAAGGGUGCGUAGGUGGCCAGGUAAGUUUGGUGUGAAAAGCUCGGAGCUUAACCUCCGAAAAGUCAUUGAAUACUAUCUGGCUGGAGGGUCGGAGGGGAGACUGGAAUUCUCGGUGUAGCAGUGAAAUGCGUAGAUAUCGAGAGGAACACCAGUGGCGAAGGCGAGUCUCUGGACGACUCCUGACACUGAGGCACGAAAGCUAGGGGAGCGAAACCAGG